rnacentral:rRNA from 1 species
GCGAUCAUACCAGCACUAAUGCACCGGAUCCCAUCAGAACUUCGAAGUUAAGCGUGCUUGGGCGAGAGCAGUACUAGGAUGGGUGACCCCCUGGGAAGUCCUCGUGUUGCACCU